rnacentral:rRNA from 1 species
GAUUUCUGGCUUGAAACAUUUUGCCGGCCACGGUUUCGUGUGUUAGUGCUUGAUGUUCUGGCCAUCCUUCCAAUCGCUAUUCACCUUUCUUCAUUGAUGGGUGAGUGGUAUUGGAUCUUUUACUUUGAAAAAAUUAGAGUGUUUCAAGCAGGCUUUAUGCUAUGAAUACAUUAGCAUGGAAUAAUAAUUUAGGACUUCGGUUCUAUUUUGUUGGUUUCUAGGACUGAAGUAAUGAUUGAUAGGGAUAGUUGGGGGUGCUAGUAUUCAGCGGCCAGAGGUGAAAUUCUCGGAUUCGCUGAAGACUAACUUAUGCGAAAGCAUU